CCUACGGGUGGCAGCAGUGAGGAAUAUUGGUCAAUGGCCUAGAGGCUGAACCAGCCAAGUCGCGUGAGGGAUGACGGCCCUACGGGUUGUAAACCUCUUUUGUCGGGGAGCAACGACAGUCACGUGUGGCUCAUCUAGAGUACCCGAAGAAAAAGCCUCGGCUAACUCCGUGCCAGCAGCCGCGGUAAUACGGAGGAUGCGAGCGUUAUCCGGAUUUAUUGGGUUUAAAGGGUGCGCAGGCGGAGGUGCAAGUCAGUGGGAAAAUUGCGGGGCUCAACCCCGUACUGCCGUUGAAACUGCAGCCCUUGAGUGCGCGAGAAGUAUGCGGAAUGCGUGGUGUAGCGGUGAAAUGCAUAGAUAUCACGCAGAACUCCGAUUGCGAAGGCAGCAUACCGGCGCGCAACUGACGCUCAUGCACGAAAGCGUGGGUAUCGAACAGGAUUAGAUACCCGUGUAGUC
rnacentral:rRNA from 1 species